GUUGAUUAAUUUUUUUUUGUUUUUUUUUGAUAAUUUUGUCUUUCGCGAAAUUGUUUUCCCUUUAUUUGCUGGGCUAAACGUCGUAAGUAUAUACAAUAACGUUCCAGCACGCGUUUUACUGAAAAUAAAUUAAAACGUCUCGAGUCACUGCGUUGUACUUAUUGUUUGGCGCGAGAAAGGCACGAAACAACAAGUCGUAUACAUAUAAUUGAAUGACUUUGGCAGUUUAUUGGGUUAGGCUAUUUAGCAAACCAUAGUACGUCAAUUUUCAAAAUUCAAUUCGGAAAAGCCUUCGGCCGUGCUUUCUCGGCACAAAAUAUUUAACUCGGCGACGGUUCCCAACGCGAGCGAUACCGCACCGCCUACUUCGGGCGUUUAUAGUUUUCAGGGCGCGCUAAUAAGGGGAGGCGGUCUAAUGUGUCGCUUAGAAAUUUUGUACGACUGUUUUUAUUAUAUGCUUAUAGUUAUGUAACGUACUGAUUGUCGAAAAGCGAAAAAAAAAA